rnacentral:rRNA from 1 species
GACGAACGCUGGCGGCGCGCCUAACACAUGCAAGUCGAACGAGCGAGAGAGAGCUUGCUUUCUCGAGCGAGUGGCGAACGGGUGAGUAACGCGUGAGGAACCUGCCUCAAAGAGGGGGACAACAGUUGGAAACGACUGCUAAUACCGCAUAAGCCCACAGGUCGGCAUCGACCAGAGGGAAAAGGAGCAAUCCGCUUUGAGAUGGCCUCGCGUCCGAUUAGCUAGUUGGUAAGGUAACGGCUUACCAGGGCGACGAUCGGUAGCCGGACUGAGAGGUUGAACGGCCACAUUGGGACUGAGACACGGCCCAG